rnacentral:rRNA from 1 species
UACGUAGGAAGCAAGCGUUGUCCGGAAUUACUGGGCGUAAAGCGCGUGUAGGCGGUGCGACAAGUCUGCUGUGAAAGCGCCCGGCUUAACCGGGCGAGGUCGGUGGAAACUGUCGGACUGGAGGCCGGUAGAGGGGGGGUGGAAUUCCCGGUGUAGUGGUGAAAUGCGUAGAGAUCGGGAGGAACACCUGUGGCGAAGGCGGCCCCCUGGGCCCGCGCCUGACGCUGAGGAGCGAAAGCGUGGGGAGCGAAACAGGAUUGAG